GACGAACGCUGGCGGCGUGCCUAAUACAUGCAAGUCGUGCGGACUUAUCUUCGGAUAAGUUAGCGGCGGACGGGUGAGUAACACGUGGGCAACCUGCCUGUAAGACUGGGAUAACUCCGGGAAACCGGUGCUAAUACCAGAUACAAUCAAAGACCGCCUGGUCUUUGAUGGAAAGGUCUUGUACCGCUUACGGAUGGGCCCGCGGCGCAUUAGCUAGUUGGUGGGGUAACGGCCUACCAAGGCGACGAUGCGUAGCCGACCUGAGAGGGUGAUCGGCCACACUGGGACUGAGACACGGCCCAGACUCCUACGGGAGGCAGCAGUAGGGAAUCUUCCGCAAUGGACGAAAGUCUGACGGAGCAACGCCGCGUGAGUGAUGAAGGCUUUCGGGUCGUAAAACUCUGUUGUCAGGGAAGAACAUCCGGGAUGACCUCCCGGUCUGACGGUACCUGAUCAGAAAGCCCCGGCUAACUACGUGCCAGCAGCCGCGGUAAUACGUAGGGGGCAAGCGUUGUCCGGAAUUAUUGGGCGUAAAGCGCGCGCAGGCGGUUUCUUAAGUCUGGUGUGAAAGCCCGCAGCUCAACUGCGGAGGGCCACUGGAAACUGGGAAGCUUGAGUGUAGGAGAGGAGAGCGGAAUUCCACGUGUAGCGGUGAAAUGCGUAGAUAUGUGGAGGAACACCCGUGGCGAAAGCGGCUCUCUGGCCUAUAACUGACGCUGAGGCGCGAAAGCGUGGGGAGCAAACAGGAUUAGAUAUCCUGGUAGUCCACGCCGUAAACGAUGAGUGCUAGGUGUUGGGGACUCCAAUCCUCAGUGCCGCAGCUAACGCAAUAAGCACUCCGCCUGGGGAGUACGGCCGCAAGGCUG
rnacentral:rRNA from 1 species